rnacentral:rRNA from 1 species
CCCCACUAUGCCCAGCCGUAAACUUUUACUUACACCCAAAUCGCCUGGGAACUACGAGCUAAGCUUAAAACCCAAGGGACUUGACGGUACCCCACAUCCACCUAGAGGAGCCUGUCCUGUAAUCGAUAAUCCACGUUCAACCUCACCAUUUCUAGCCCAUCAGCUUGUAUACCUCCGUCCUCAGCUUACCUCGUGAGUGAUAUCUAGUAAGCUUAAUGCCCCUACGCCAACACGUCAGGUCAAGGUGCAGCAAAUGAAAUGGGAAGAGAUGGGCUACACUCUCUAACCUAGAAGACACGAAAGACUACCCAUGAAACCUAGUCGGAAGGCGGAUUUAGAAGUAAAGAGAAAAUAGCAUGUUCUUUUUAACCUGGCACUGGGGUGUGUACACACCGCCCG